rnacentral:ncRNA from 1 species
GUUUCAGGGCGGGGUGAGAUUCCCCACUGGCGGUGACGGUGCGUCGUGGCGACGCCCGAAGUCCGCGACCCGCGGGAGCGGUUGACCCGGUGCGAGUCCGGGACCAACGGUAUAGUCCGGAUGGGAGAAA